rnacentral:rRNA from 1 species
GACGAACGCUGGCGGCGUGCCUAACACAUGCAAGUCGAGCGAUGAAGUUUCCUUCGGGAAAUGGAUUAGCGGCGGACGGGUGAGUAACACGUGGGUAACCUGCCUCAUAGAGGGGAAUAGCCUCCCGAAAGGGAGAUUAAUACCGCAUAAUAUUACAGUUUCGCAUGAAACAGUAAUUAAAGGAGCAAUCCGCUAUGAGAUGGACCCGCGGCGCAUUAGCUAGUUGGUGAGGUAACGGCUCACCAAGGCGACGAUGCGUAGCCGACCUGAGAGGGUGAUCGGCCACAUUGGGACUGAGAAACGGCCCAGACUCCUACGGGAGGCAGCAGUGGGGAAUAUUGCACAAUGGGGGAAACCCUGAUGCAGCAACGCCGCGUGAGUGAUGACGGUCUUCGGAUUGUAAAGCUCUGUCUUUGGGGACGAUAAUGACGGUACCCAAGGAGGAAGCCACGGCUAACUACGUGCCAGCCGCCGCGGUAACAC